GUGAGCGCACCCCCCGCGUAAUGAUCACCGGCCACCUCUCUUGGAGAGCGACGUUGGCGAUUGAACAAUAGCCGAACGUCUUACAGAACACCCCCGGGGAGAGAACGCGCUUUACGGUUGUACUCUUUUUUCAUAGAAGGAUGCGAUGUACUGUACGGGAGAAAAGCACCGGCGAUUUCGUCCCAGCAGCGAUUUAUUAGUAGGGUCCAAGCGUUUCCGAGUUAUGCGGUAGAGAGCUCGUAGCAGUUUGUCCGCGUCCUGCUGUGAAUCCCGAGAUUCAACCUCGUGCUUGCAGUCGGUACGGGCCAGACUAGAGUGCGUUAGGGGAGAUUGGAUUCAUGGUGUAGCGGUGGAAUGCGCAGAUUUCCAGGAGGAACACCGAUGGCCGAAGGCCAGAUCUUUGGGCCGUAUCUGACCGCUGAGGAGCGAAAGGCAUGGGGAAGCGAACCAGGAUUAGAUACUCUUGGUAGGUCCAUGCGGUAACCGUUGCGACGUUAGAUGUAGGGACCAUUCCCACGGUUUCCUGUGUCGUAGCUACCGCAUUAAGCGCCCCGCCUGGGGAAGUACGGCCGCAAGGCUAAAACUCAAAGGAAUUGACGGGGGCCCGCACAAGCGGCGGAGCAUGCGGAUUAAUUCGAUGCAACGCGAAGAACCUUACCAAGGCUUGACAUACACCGGAAACGGCCAGAGAUGGUCGCCCCCUUGUGGUCGGUGUACAGGUGGUGCAUGGUUGUCGUCAGCUCGUGUCGUGAGAUGUUGGGUUAAGUCCCGCAACGAGCGCAACCCUCGUUCUAUGUUGCCAGCGGGUUAUGCCGGGGACUCAUAGGAGACUGCCGGGGUCAACUCGGAGGAAGGUGGGGAUGACGUCAAAUCAUCAUGCCCCUUAUGUCUUGGGCUUCACGCAUGCUACAAUGGCCGGUACAAAGGGCUGCGAUACCGUAAGGUGGAGCGAAUCCCAAAAAGCCGGUCUCAGUUCGGAUUGAGGUCUGCAACUCGACCUCAUGAAGUCGGAGUCGCUAGUAAUCGCAGAUCAGCAACGCUGCGGUGAAUACGUUCCCGGGCCUUGUACACACCGCCCGUCAAGUCAUGAAAGUCGGUAACACCCGAAGCCGGUGGCCUAACCCUUGGGAAGGAGCCGUCGAAGGUGGUCUGAUGAUCC
rnacentral:rRNA from 1 species